AGUGAACGCUGGCGGUAGGCCUAACACAUGCAAGUCGAACGGCAGCACGGGAGAGCUCGCUCUCUGGGUGGCGAGUGGCGGACGGGUGGGGAAUACAUCGGAAUCUACCUUUUCGUGGGGGAUAACGUAGGGAAACUUACGCUAAUACCGCAUACGACCUACGGGUGAAAGUGGGGGACCGCAAGGCCUCACGCGAUUAG
rnacentral:rRNA from 1 species